rnacentral:rRNA from 1 species
GAAAACCUUACGAGGAUAAGACAAACGAAGGAUUGACAGAUUGAUCGCUCUUUCUUGAUUGUUUGGGUGGUGGUGCAUGGCCGUUCUUAGUUCGUGGAUUAAUUUGUCUGGUUAAUUCCGUUAACGAACGAGACCUUAACUUGCUAAUUGGAUUGCAGUAUUUUAUACUGUACUCUGUUAGAAGGACCAUGUGUGCCUAACACAAGGAAGCGUGAGGCAAUAA